GAUGAACGCUGGCGGCGUGCCUAAUACAUGCAAGUCGAGCGAACAGACGAGGAGCUUGCUCCUCUGACGUUAGCGGCGGACGGGUGAGUAACACGUGGAUAACCUACCUAUAAGACUGGGAUAACUUCGGGAAACCGGAGCUAAUACCGGAUAAUAUAUUGAACCGCAUGGUUCUAUAGUGAAAGACGGUUUUGCUGUCACUUAUAGAUGGAUCCGCGCCGCAUUAGCUAGUUGGUAAGGUAACGGCUUACCAAGGCAACGAUGCGUAGCCGACCUGAGAGGGUGAUCGGCCACACUGGAACUGAGACACGGUCCAGACUCCUACGGGAGGCAGCAGUAGGGAAUCUUCCGCAAUGGGCGAAAGCUUGACGGAGCAACGCCGCGUGAGUGAUGAAGGUCUUCGGAUCGUAAAACUCUGUUAUUAGGGAAGAACAAAUGUGUAAGUAACUAUGCACGUCUUGACGGUACCUAAUCAGAAAGCCACGGCUAACUACGUG
rnacentral:rRNA from 1 species